rnacentral:rRNA from 1 species
AUGGUCACCGGCGUGCGCCCGCUGGUGGACUUGGCCUCGGCGGCGGCGGCGUUGCAUGCGGAGUUCGAGGUGGGGCUUGAGGACAUGUCCAUUCGGCCUUUUCAUCCGCAAGAUUUCCUGGUCCUCUGCCGAGAUGUGGAGCUCAAGGAGCGGAUGGUGCGGGCUGGCCGGGUGGGCUUGUCGUCGACCUUCGAGCUGUCUCUGCGCCCUUGGAGGAGCCCAGCCGCACGCUCUGGGCGGGCGAGGUGCCUGCUGGUAUGCCAACCCCGCGCAUGUCGGUAUGCCGGUGGAUGCUGGGCCGCCGCCGCCUCCCUUGCCGCCGUCGCCUCCUCAGGAGGAGGGUGGUGGCCUUGGCGGGUCCGGUGGGCCCCUCCUGGGCUCGAGAGGUGCUCGUCGUUGCUUUGGUGA